AAAGCUAUAUUACUGGCACUACAAAGGAAGUGCCAAAACUACUAAAUCCAAAGUGGUCCGUGGUGCCGAUAAGGCAAAUAGGAUAUUUGUGGAUUUUCAUGCCAGCCCUGCUGGGGCACACUGUGGCCAGACUAAAACAAGGGACAGCAUAUCCCGAAGAUUUUACUGGCCAGGGAUGUCUGUAGACAUCAACAAGUGGGUUUCCCAAUGCUCAGCAUGUCAAGCCAGCGGUGAGUCAAUAAAAAGGCCAACAGAAUACACUCCCAUAAAGGUCAUCUACCCACAUGAAAAAAAGUCUCUGUUCCUGGAUUCAAUGGGGGAGUCAAGCCGAGACAUCAAGAAAUGUUUGGAAACAACAAGG